rnacentral:lncRNA from 1 species
AGAUGCCAGAUUCACCACCAAGGCUGACUAUGAGUUACUAAAAAAUAUGUGACAAAAUAAAAUAUUUAAAUAAAUAAAUAUUGCAAUGGGCCCACAAUAAUUACUUCAUGUUUUAUCAAAUUGACUCAUGUCAUUCAAUAUAUCGUGUGGCUUCAACUUAGAAAUCACCAGACUCCUCAAGCAAUCAAUGACUAAUACAAUACUACAUGUAAGAAUAAUUUUAGAAAAACAUGAGUUGAUAGCUCAGUGAAUGGAAGAGUUCAAAAAUAAUUAUAUUUUUACCUUUAAACAUUUUUACCAAACAUCUAGUUCAUAGCGUUUAACAUUCACAUGAUAGACUCAUACAAUUAUAGUAAAAAAGUAAGACAUUCUUAUAACACUGUAAAUAUAAUCUCAUAAUCACGAUAUAGUCGUCAGCUGAUAUCUAUACUAUCAUCUCAUCAUAUUACAUGUGAUCCACCAAAAAUGUACCCUCUGACUAAAAUCUGAAAUCCGCCCCUUAGGCCAAACACUUUCGACACGGGCCUUUGGCCCCUUUCGUGAAUGAAAGCAGGUCUUAAGACCUCUAGUAAUCAAUUCUAUAACACGACCAAGGCCCCUUAGUAAACUAUAUGUACACGGCCACAACCCCUUCAUCCUCAGUCAACCCCUCAGUAUAGUAUAGAAUACGGCCAAGGCCCCUCAGUGAACUAGAAAAAUAUAUUAUCACGGAUACUUUUCUGGUCGAUCUCAAAAUUACAUGUCUCAUAUACCAAACAAAUCUCAAUAUUACAUGUCUUAUAUACCAAGUCACAAAUGUAACAUAAAUAAUUUUUGAGAUUCCACAUGUAUUAUAAUAAAAAAUAUUUCCAUAGUAACCAUAUAAUUCAAACACAUAAUUGCACAUACCUUGAUAAUAUACUUAAUUUAUAAAUACUUUAAAAAUAUUUAUAUUUUUCCACUCACAGAGUUAUAGGCUGCAAGCUAAUCUAGACAUUUUGCUUUCCGAAUAUCCUCGCUACCUCAUCCUGAAAUAACAAUAAAAUUGCAUGAAUUCAUAUUGGUCGUGGAAUAACAAAUACCCAUCUUACUUGUAUUCCUCUAUUUUUAUUCUUUAUUUGUUUCAUAGUUCUUCCUAUAUAUUUUAAUAAGUUUCAUAUUCGCUUGAUUGAAACCAAAACCCAUCAUAAAUCCUUGUUCAAGCUGAAAAGAAGCCUAAAAGAGAAGUCCAAAAUUCUUUCUUGAUGGUACCUAGACAGCCACUUGUUCGCAUAAAAGUCCUCCCGUCUAGUUGUCGAAAACAAAAAUUCCUACUUAUACUAAUAUAAACCCAUAUUGUUCAAGUAAUUGGGAAAUUUUGAACACAUAAUCAAUGAUUAAAGUCAAUAACAUCAAACCCAUUUCCCUUUUAAUUCUCGUUUCUCACACCUUCAACCCAAAUUCCACUGACUUUCUAAUUCUUGAAAUCCAGAUAUGGAUAAAAAACCAAAAAUCACCUCAACUAACACUAUAAUAAAUAAAGUCUUAAAACAAACUAGUCCCUAUAAAAUGCUUGACUUUAAACACUAAUUCCAUUUUUACCUAUUGAAAUAGAAGAAGAAUUGGAGACCCAUGAGCUAGAAUAGACAAUUUCUUUCGAUCAACUUGAUUGGCCACCAUCUUCUAUUUCCCUUUUUCUUUCCCAAAUCUUCUUCUACCUCUCGAUUCUUCUGUGCUCCCCC